GACGAACGCUGGCGGCGUGCCUAAUACAUGCAAGUUGAGCGCUGAAGGUUGGUACUUGUACCGCCUGGAUGAGCAGCGAACGGGUGAGUAACGCGUGGGGAAUCUGCCUUUGAGCGGGGGACAACAUUUGGAAACGAAUGCUAAUACCGCAUAAAAACUUUAAACACAAGUUUUAAGUUUGAAAGAUGCAAUUGCAUCACUCAAAGAUGAUCCCGCGUUGUAUUAGCUAGUUGGUGAGGUAAAGGCUCACCAAGGCGAUGAUACAUAGCCGACCUGAGAGGGGGAUCGGCCAAAUUGGGACUGGGACACGGCCCAAACUCCUACGGGAGGCAGCAGUAGGGAAUCUUCGGCAAUGGACGAAAGUCUGACCGAGCAACGCCGCGUGAGUGAAGAAGGUUUUCGGAUCGUAAAACUCUGUUGGUAGAGAAGAACGUUGGUGAGAGUGGAAAGCUCAUCAAGUGACGGUAACUACCCAGAAAGGGACGGCUAACUACGUG
rnacentral:rRNA from 1 species